rnacentral:tRNA from 1 species
UCCCUGAUGGCUCAGCAGGUAAAGAAUCUGCCUGCAACGCAGAAAAGCCGCAGGUUUGAUCCCUGGCUCAGGAA